AAUUUGGCCUCUAAUUAGGGUCUUGUAUGAAUGGAAUCACGGAGUUAAACUGUCUCUAGUGUUGGAUAUUUUUAAGUUUCUUAUAAGGUGAAAAUUCCUUUAAAUUAUAUUUUAGACGAGAAGACCCUUAGAGUUUUCAUUAAGUGAGUUAUUAAUUUAUCAUAAUUAACUCUUGAUUUUUGUUGGGGCGACAAGGAAAGCAUAUUUAAGUACCCUUCUUAAUUAUUUUAUUUAUAUGACGAUUUAAUUAUAUGAAUGAUAAAACUACCUAAGGGAUAACAGCAUAAUUUUAUUUAAGAUUG
rnacentral:rRNA from 1 species